GCGAUCCUGCUUGCUGUUGCUUUUAGACGUCUUUGAGUGACAGACGUCUCAUGACCUCGCGAUUUACUUAGGCAUGUAUGAUAAAGCGAGAAAUUUGGUUACAUCAAGCUCUAUUCUUCUUAAGAAAAGACAUCAACCAGAACUUGAUUAGUACGUAUUUCUUGAUAAUAAAAUUUUUAGAGAAGCAUAUAUUAUAUUGAUUAAGACAAUACACGAAAGGAUGGAUUUCAAAAUAAGCUUAUUAUUCAUGUUUGUUACCUUCAGCAUGUUUAGCACGGUAUACAUGCGUCCAUCAAAAAGAGAGGAAUCCCGUUCACGUAAGGCACUAGAAUUAAAGGAAACGACCUGCUUUUUGUGAUGAUUUUUAUGACUUUGGUGAAUGCCUCAGAUGGGGAAUUCCUUGCAAAAUGUAUGUAAGAUAUUGGUAUAAUGCAUAUAACAGAACAUGUGAUGUUUUUAUAUACGGUGGUAUUAGAGGAAAUCUAAAUAAUUUUGAAACGCGUAAAGCGUGUAUGAUUUGGUGUGAUAAUGAUGUAUAAUUCUAGAUGCACCUUAGAAAUAAAAUUGUUAAGAAUUUCUCAUACAUUUAUAUGUAUUUAUAAUACUUUAAUAUUGACAUUAAAUA